CAGUAGCCGCGGGAACACGUAGGUGGCAAGCGUUGUCCGGAAUUAUUGGGCGUAAAGGGCUCGCAGGCGGUUUCUUAAGUCUGAUGUGAAAGCCCCCGGCUCAACCGGGGAGGGUCAUUGGAAACUGGGAAACUUGAGUGCAGAAGAGGAGAGUGGAAUUCCACGUGUAGCGGUGAAAUGCGUAGAGAUGUGGAGGAACACCAGUGGCGAAGGCGACUCUCUGGUCUGUAACUGACGCUGAGGAGCGAAAGCGUGGGGAGCGAACAGGAUUAGAUACCCCGGUAGUCCCUGUCUCUUAUAA
rnacentral:rRNA from 1 species